AUGAAUUUUAGGCGGCAAUUAUUUAGUAGCAAUUGACUAAAUUAAAAAAAAUUGUGCCAUUAAAUAAUUGCCAGUAAAAAACUUAGGUUAUUAGUCUUGUUUUUCAUUUAAUUUAUUAUCAAAAUCCACAUCACUCCUCAACCGUUGAAUAUCCUCGAUUAUUGUGUCGAUGGUGGUGGAGAUAACGGUUUUCGUUCUCUGAUCGAUCGUGCUUUCCUCUAGAUGACUUCCAUGGAUCCAAUCUUCAUCUUUUGCUUCAACUUCUCCGUUUCCAGAUCUACCUCCUAAUCUCAUGUUUUCGAUCACUUUUAAUUAUAUCAGUUAUUUCAUUUCGAUUUGGAGAUUAUUUUAGCGAUUUUUUUUUUAUUUCUUCAAGAAUCACCUGAGUGAUUCGUCCAUCGCGGAGGUCGAACUUAUCAGCGUUUCAUAAACAUCGCCCUAGUUCGACCUCAAUUAGGAACUUUGCUGACAUAGUUUAUUUCCAUGAACCCUUCUGCAUUAAUAGAUUGUUCAAGACACGAUAAAUGUUGGUACUGAUACUGCAGCAGCUCUUAAGGCUCAGGAAGUAUAUGAGAUCUGGGUAGGUUUAGGUUACUUAGCCAAGUGAAGAAGUGGAGUAGAGAUGAUAGAAGAAGCACUAGCUAAUUUUUAGGUUUUUAUGAGUGGAAGUGUAGAACUAAUUUUAAUACAGAGACACACCCUCAUGCUUCUAGUUUCCUUGACAAAUUUUGUUUUGUUUGCAGUUUCGAAAUUUGUCUCCAUGGAAACAGUCUGCUGUACAUGUUUGUAUAUAUUUGAAUGGAAAUUUUUGGCACGUUUAUUUUUGUUAAAAUUAUUGUUAGUAGUGUAAGUUUUGUAAACUUUCAAAUUUGUGAUAAGUUGAAGUUUUUAUAUUCUGACACCAAAA